AUUACCGCGGCUGCUGGCACAGAGUUAGCCGGUGCUUAUUCUGUCGGUAACGUCAAAACAGUUACGUAUUAGGCAACUGCCCUUCCUCCCAACUUAAAGUGCUUUACAAUCCGAAGACCUUCUUCACACACGCGGCAUGGCUGGAUCAGGCUUUCGCCCAUUGUCCAAUAUUCCCCACUGCUGCCUCCCGUAGG
rnacentral:rRNA from 1 species